GCAGGGUGUGGUGGUGCAUGCCUGUAAUCCUAGUGGCUCAGGAGGCUGAGGCAGGAGGAUCACAAGUGGGAGGCCAGCCUCAGCAGCUGAGUGAGGCCCUAAGCAACUCAGCAAGACCCUGUCUCUA
rnacentral:sRNA from 1 species